GACGAACGCUGGCGGCGUGCUUAACACAUGCAAGUCGAACGGCAAGGCCCUGCUUUCUUGGGGUGCUCGAGUUGCGAACGGGUGAGUAACACGUGAGUAACCUGCCUUUGACUUUGGGAUAACUUCAGGAAACUGGGGCUAAUACCGGAUAGGAGCUCCGGCUGCAUGGUGGGGGUUGGAAAGUUACGGCGGGUGGGGAUGGACUAGCGGCUUAUCAGCUUGUCGGUGGGGUAGUGGCUUACCAAGACGUUGACGGGUAGCCGGGCUGAGUGGGUAAGCGGCCCAGCCAGGACGGAAAUGCGGCACAGACUACUACGGUACGCAACGGUGGGGUGAGGUGUCCUCUGGGCGGAAGGCUGACGCGGUGACGCAGCGUGCGGGAUGGCGGCCUUGGGUUUGUAAACCGCACUCGCCUGUGACGAAGAGAGAGUGACGGUAAUGGAUAAAGAAGCACCGGCUAACUACGUG
rnacentral:rRNA from 1 species